GAUGAACGCUGGCGGCGUGCCUAAUACAUGCAAGUCGAGCGAACAGAUGAGGAGCUUGCUCCUCUGACGUUAGCGGCGGACGGGUGAGUAACACGUGGAUAACCUACCUAUAAGACUGGGAUAACUUCGGGAAACCGGAGCUAAUACCGGAUAAUAUAUUGAACCGCAUGGUUCAAUAGUGAAAGACGGUUUUGCUGUCACUUAUAGAUGGAUCCGCGCCGCAUUAGCUAGUUGGUAAGGUAACGGCUUACCAAGGCAACGAUGCGUAGCCGACCUGAGAGGGUGAUAGGCCACACUGGAACUGAAACACGGUCCAGACUCCUACGGGAGGCAGCAGUAGGGAAUCUUCCGCAAUGGGCGAAAGCCUGACGGAGCAACGCCGCGUGAGUGAUGAAGGUCUUCGGAUCGUAAAGCUCUGUUAUUAGGGAAGAACAAAUGUGUAAGUAACUAUGCACGUCUUGACGGUACCUAAUCAGAAAGCCACGGCUAACUACGUG
rnacentral:rRNA from 1 species